rnacentral:rRNA from 1 species
AUUGAACGCUGGCGGCAUGCUUUACACAUGCAAGUCGAACGGAUCUAGGGGCUUGCUCCUAGGUUAGUGGCGAACGGGUGAGUAAUGCAUCGGAACGUACCGUGUAGUGGGGGAUAACCUGGCGAAAGUCAGAUUAAUACCGCAUACGAUCUACGGAUGAAAGCGGGGGACCUUCGGGCCUCGCGCUAUACGAGCGGCCGAUGUCGGAUUAGCUAGUUGGUGAGGUAAAGGCUCACCAAGGCGACGAUCCGUAGCGGGUCUGAGAGGAUGAUCCGCCACACUGGGACUGAGACACGGCCCAGACUCCUACGGGAGGCAGCAGUGGGGAAUUUUGGACAAUGGACGCAAGUCUGAUCCAGCCAUGCCGCGUGAGUGAAGAAGGCCUUCGGGUUGUAAAGCUCUUUUGCCAGGGAGCAAAUCCUGCCUGCUAAUACUAGGUGGGGAUGAGAGUACCUGAAGAAUAAGCACCGGCUAACUACGUGCCAGCCGCCGCCGUAACAC